UCUUGAUUAUACCCUUCCUUCUCCAAGUCUUGCAGAAAGACCCAAGAAAUGAAAGGGAUGAACUAGGACAAGCAACAAGUAAAGUCAAAAUGGUACUUUUGUACAAAGAGCAUGAGCAAACAAGCAACACAAAUGUGAACUUAGAGAAAGCAUAGACUAAACAAUGAGACUGAUGAGUGUUGUUCUCAAACUACAGGAAGGUACCAGAUUAGUGGGAAUUCAGUGGGCAUGUCAAAUCUACCCAAAGGUUUGGAAACAGGAAACAGUCAGAUGGAGCAAGAUCUGGAACAGGAACUUCAUCAUGGCCUGGAGUUCAGCAUUUGAAAAUGUCAUGCUUUAUGUGGAC